AGCCUUUUGUAGUUUAUAAGUGUGAUAAUUGGCUUUUCUCGUUCUUGUGUGAGAAGUGCUUCUCUCAAACCUUGUUAUGAUGUCAGCACAUUACCUACCAGACA